CGGAUAUAUCACGUUCAAACACCGGGUCCCGUACGGUUACCGAAGUUAAGCACCGUCGAACGUGGUCAGUAUCUAGAUGGUUGAGCGCCUGGGAAUACUAGGUUUUGUAAG